rnacentral:rRNA from 1 species
UACGUAGGGUCCGAGCGUUGUCCGGAAUUACUGGGCGUAAAGAGCUCGUAGGUGGUUUGUCGCGUUGUUCGUGAAAACUCACAGCUCAACUGUGGGCGUGCGGGCGAUACGGGCAGACUAGAGUACUGCAGGGGAGACUGGAAUUCCUGGUGUAGCGGUGGAAUGCGCAGAUAUCAGGAGGAACACCGGUGGCGAAGGCGGGUCUCUGGGCAGUAACUGACGCUGAGGAACGAAAGCCAGGGGAGCGAACGGG